rnacentral:rRNA from 1 species
AGAAUGAACGCUGGCGGCGUGCUUAACACAUGCAAGUCGUGCGCGAAGGUGGCUUCGGCCACCGGAGAGCGGCGAACGGGUGAGUAACACGUGGGUAAUCUGCCUAGGAGCGGGGGAUAACCUGGGGAAACUCGGGCUAAUACCGCAUACGUCGACGGGGCUGCGGCUUCGUCAAGAAAGCUGGCCUCUGCUUGCAAGCUAGCACUCCUAGAGGAGCCCGCGGCUGAUUAGCUAGUUGGCGGGUAAUGGCCCACCAAGGCAACGAUCAGUA